UAUACCAUUUGUGGUAAAGAUUAGUGUGAUUGUGUCAAAAGUUUUUGCAUUACUACCCACCACAAGUAUCUCUGUUUUACUGGCAUUUAGAAAUAAAAAAUUAUUACUCAUCCAUAAUUUUAUAUUGGUAA
rnacentral:pre_miRNA from 1 species